UACGUAGGGUGCGAGCGUUGUCCGGAAUUAUUGGGCGUAAAGAGCUUGUAGGCGGUUUGUCGCGUCUGCUGUGAAAAUCCGGGGCUCAACCCCGGACUUGCAGUGGGUACGGGCAGACUAGUGUGUGGUAGGGGAGACUGGGAUUCCUGGUGUAGCGGUGAAAUGCGCAGAUAUCAGGAGGAACACCGAUGGCGAAGGCAGGUCUCUGGGCCACUACUGACGCUGAGAAGCGAAAGCAUGGGGAG
rnacentral:rRNA from 1 species